AUACGGAGGGUGCAAGCGUUAAUCGGAAUUACUGGGCGUAAAGCGCGCGUAGGCGGUUUGUUAAGCUGGAUGUGAAAGCCCUGGGCUCAACCUGGGAACUGCAUUCAGAACUGGCAGGCUAGAGUACGAGAGAGGGGGGUAGAAUUCCUAGUGUAGCGGUGAAAUGCGUAGAUAUUAGGAGGAAUACCAGUGGCGAAGGCGGCCCCCUGGCUCGAUACUGACGCUGAGGUGCGAAAGCGUGGGGAGCAAACAGGAUUAGAAACCCCAGUAGUCC
rnacentral:rRNA from 1 species